AAUGAAUCCAACUACUGUCCUUGUCCUCUCCUCUCUAGGUUUGUGGAGACUGAAUUCCACAAACCUAGGGACAGGGCACUCUCUAGGGGCAAGUCAACUCUCAAUUAUAGUGAGGGCAGGUUCCCCAGUUGCCAGCCUACACCCUGGCCAGCCACCCAAGGGAAUACCUGCUGCUGCUAAGGCAGUCAAUGUUGGGAGGGUCAGGGAAGGGGAGAGGAAGUAGCUGAGUGUAGAGAUUAUCCAGGCUUUCCUUCCCGUCCUCUGUACAGAAAGGCAGACAUACACUGACUCCUGAAGUGCCCCAGGAUCAUAGUUGGUUCUUCUUAGGGGGAGGGAGUGAAACGGUGGCCUUGCUCCAAUUCCAGGCCUCUGGAGAAAGGAGUGCUCAACUGGAGAGUCUCAGAACCUUUUACAGUACUUCAGCAGGCCCAGCACCCAACCUUCCCCACCAUACCCCUGCCCUGGGAAUGCCCCUUACCACAGUGGCUUCCAUUCCUGACAUUUGAACCAGCUCCUGCACUUGAAGGACAAGGCAGCCACUGGGCAGCUCCGGGAGGCGGGAGGCGUGACUCCUUCAUAUCAGGCCAUCUGGAGGAGCACCAGAUUUCCCUCUUGUGAAACAACCCCCCACAGUGGGGAUUUAAUGGUCACCACACAAGCCCCAAAAAACCAGGCCCUGCAGAGCCAUGACUUCACAGGGGAGAAAACCAGCCCAAGAGGCUGCCCUCACCCAACACUUAGCUCUAAGUCCAGACUCUUAAAGGUUCUGUUAAAGAUCUGCGGCCAGGCGCAGUGGCUCACAUCUGUAAUCCCAGCACUUUGGGAGGCCGAGGUGGGCGGAUCACGAGGUCAGGAGAGCGAGACCAUCCUGGCUAACACAGUGAAGCCCUGUCUCUACUAAAAAUACAAAAAAUUAGCCAGGUGUGGUGGCGGGCACCUGUAGUACCAGCUACUUGGGAGGCUGAGGCAGGAGAAUGGCGUGAACCCAGGAGGCAGAGCUUGCAGUGAGCCGAGAUCACGCCACUGCACUCCAACCUGGGUGACAGAGCGAGACUCCGUCUCAAAAAAAAAAAAAAAAAAAAAAGAUUUGCCUAGUGAGCUUGGCCAACCCAAGAGCCUUCCUGGGCUCUCAGGUUUCUUGAGGCAAAACUUCUAAAGAUGCAAAUAGAAUCCUUGGUAGCUACAAAGCUCAUCUAGCCAAAUUAUAAGUACUAUCCAAGCCCAGGAUUCAUUCUUGAAGAUGAGAUGUAAAAGCACUGCUGGGCCCUUGCAAAGGGAGAGAUCAGAGAAAAUAGGAGAACGAACACCAGCUCAUGCCAAUCUCAGUCUCAUGAGCUACAGAGAAAAAGAGCCAAAAAAGUUUAUCCUGGCUCAGCCACCUUCUGGCUUUGUAGCUACAGGCAAGUUAUUUAACUUUUCUGAAUGUUGGUUUUUCCAUCUGGAAAAAGGAGACAGGAAAAGCUGCCACUGGAGGCUACCUUAAGGGUCAAUGAGUGAAAUGGGGUUGAGUGCUUAAUGAACUGUUAAAACAUGACACAGAUGGGUGAGGUGACAUCUGACUGCUCUUCACAGCAGUCCUUGCAUGGUGAGCAGAUGCAAUCAGUGUGCUCGUUCAUUCACUUGUUCAUCAAACACCAACAGUACCCACUUGUGCCAGGCCUUGUGCUGGGCACCGUAGGGGCUAUGGAAGGAGUAAGACACAGUCAUGCUCUCAAGGAACUCGCUGUCCAGCAGAGUGAUAGGACAUGAAUACAUACUUCUAGCAAAGGCUGAGUAGCAUUAGGCAGGUGGCCAGAUGAGGUCAGAGCUCUGGCCCUAGUGCCCUGUAGUAAGUUGCGAGGGAGUAGGAAAUGAAGACAAAACAGCAAGAGCACAGGUCCAGCACAAGAAGGUGAAGGACAUGGAAAGAGGAGCAGAGCAUGAUAAAGCUACAAAAGUAGGGGGCAAGUCAUGAGGUCCGGGUCACUGGGGAGCCCUGGACAGGCUCUGAAUGGGAGAUAGACUAGACUGACAAAGCAGCUCUUUCUGGAGACCUCCUGUGGAGGGUCCCCUCUUCUACCCUUGGGAGACGAGGUGUCAUUCACUUCACGAUACACAUGGGGAAAGGAAGUUGGACAGGGGAAGGCACUUGUCUAAGGUCACUCAGUGGUCAUGCCAGUGCAAAGCACCCAAAGCCUGGUCCAGGUCCUGCCACCUCCUGCGUGGGCUCCAUCUUCUCGGCUCAGUUCAAGCCUUUAUUAUCAGAGUCCCUCUGUGUGCCAGGCUCUGUGCUGAAUGUCCGUGUCGGCCACAAAUUGCACUAACGGUGCUUACUGCCACUUCCUCUCCGACCUUACCUCCAAAGACCCAGCCGGGCCUAACCCUCACACACAGCCAGAGGAAUCCUUCCCAAACACAGUUAAUCACAUCGCUCAUCCGUUUAAAACUGGCUUACUAGAGCCAACACAGGAUAAAAUCCACAAUCAGUCCCAAACCCAUCUUUCUCUGCCGUCUCUAGACCACAUUCACUGAGCACCAAGGCCUGCACGCUUCGCAGCCAGCCCUCCUGCUCUCCCCCUUGCCCUCCAGCCACACUGGCCCUCAACCCCCAACACUGGGCCCACCUCUGAGCCCUGCAUCAAACACCAGCACCCCCUUCGCCGAGCUCAUUCUUCAUCAUUCCUCAGAGCUCAGCUUAAGCAUCACCUUCCUUCCCUGCGACAGGGUCAGGUCCUUUCCUGUGCGCUCCGCAGCACCCUGCCUGUCCCUCGGAGUCCUCGCGAGAGGAACUAGAUAACUGUGAUCCCCGCGCACAGCACGGUGUCUGCCUAGGACACAGUGAGCGCUUCAACGCGCUGAACUAAACGAAUGAAGGGGAACACCAACUCAGCUGUCACCCCCGCCCCCAAGUGUCACUGGCUAGAAGAUCUUCCCCCGGUUCGCCGGCAGCACCGGUGGGUCUUGUCACCUCUGCGCCCCGCAGCCCUCCGGAGGCUGCAGUUGCUGUCUGCUGACAGGCGUCCCCUCAGGAGAACGGGAGCUCCUCCAGCGCAGGGCCCUGCUCAGCACCCCUGGUCCCGGGGGCCCCCACGGAGGCCGCCGCGCUCAGUGAAACUUUGCCGCGCGCAGCAGUGGCCGGAGACCCGCGCGGACCCUCUCCCCGCGGGGACCCGCCAGGGCGAGUCGCCCCUCCCCCGCGGCAGACGACCCGACCUGGGCCAAGGUCGGCCAAGUGCUCGCCGCCUGCCCAGCGGCCCUUGGACCCACAGGACCCGGACCCGAGUGCGCGGAAGCCUCCGAGCCGCGGCCAGGUCUCAGAAUGCGCGGCGGGGCAGCCCGGCCCGUCAAGCAGCGAAGCCGAAACUAGAAGCCUGAGGUCUGGCUUGGUCACUGUUUGCUGGGGAACUCCGACGAGCAACUACCCUUCGGGGACUCAGUUUCCCCCGGGCCAAGUGAGACGGACAGCUGCGGCUCCCGCGAGAACUCGCGCGGGAACAGGAGCUGCGGGCUCCGCACAGCGCCCGGCACGUAGACCCAGUCUACUAACGGGCUGGAAGGUCGCGCUCCCGCCUCCGCGCCUCCCUAGAACCUUUCUCACCUCAAGCUCGGGCUCCCGGACUCUCUCACCUCACGGCCCCUCCUUCCACCUUGGGCCGCCCAGCCUCAACCGCCCU